rnacentral:rRNA from 1 species
UGGGGAAUCUUGGACAAUGGGCGAAAGCCUGAUCCAGCCAUGCCGCGUGAGUGACGAAGGUCUUCGGAUUGUAAAGCUCUUUUGGCGGGGACGAUAAUGACGGUACCCGCAGAAUAAGCCCCGGCUAACUUCGUGCCAGCAGCCGCGGUAAUACGAAGGGGGCUAGCGUUGUUCGGAAUUACUGGGCGUAAAGCGCACGUAGGCGGAUUUGUAAGUCAGGGGUGAAAUCCCGGGGCUCAACCUCGGAACUGCCCUUGAUACUGCAAGUCUCGAGUCCGAUAGAGGUGAGUGGAAUUCCUAGUGUAGAGGUGAAAUUCGUAGAUAUUAGGAAGAACACCAGUGGCGAAGGCGGCUCACUGGAUCGGUACUGACGCUGAGGUGCGAAAGCGUGGGGAGCAAACAGGAUUAGAUACCCGGGUAGUCCCUGAGCGGGCUGGCAAGGCGCAU